GACCACGUAGCUCAGUUGGCAGAGCAUUGGGCUAGUAUUCCAAAGGUCGUAGGUUCGAUUCCCACCUUGGCCA